rnacentral:rRNA from 1 species
GCGAUAACGAACGAGACUUUACCCUGCUAAAUAGUUACCACGUGCUUAAAUGCGUGGAUAUAACUUCUUAGAGGGAUUCGCUACUCUAUAGUGGCACGAAAUGGAGCA